GAGGGUAUAGCUCAGUGGUAGAGCGCAUGCCUAGCAUGCAUGAGACUCUGGGUUCAAUCCUCAGUACCUCCA
rfam:Camelus ferus unplaced genomic scaffold scaffold2139, whole genome shotgun sequence.